GCCAGUGGCUCAACGGUUAGAGCGUUGGACUUCUGAUCAACAGGUUUCGGGUUCGAACCUCGGGUAUGGCA
rnacentral:tRNA from 1 species